rnacentral:lncRNA from 1 species
CUCUCCUGCUGCACUGUGAAGAAACUGCUUGCUUCCCUCUCACCCUCUGCAGUUUCCUGAGGCCUCCCCAGCCAUGCGGAACUCCUGCUUCCAUAUCGUAAACUGCCUUGGAACCAAGUACCACUACCAGGGAGACAAACUAUUGCUUAGAGGAUGCUGACGGGAGCAGCAUGCCAAAAUUGGAAGAAGGAGAAAGUUUAAGCUCUCCUCACUAUGAGUUUUCAAGUAUAAAAGACUUUUUCUUCCAUGAUUUUGAGAACAACUGUGGACUCUUGUGACCAGGACAACAGGGAAGCUUGCAGCAAGAUAGCUCCAGGUUGGAUUCACGCUUCGCACCCCAAGGGCUGCCAGCCAGAGAGGAGGAGAAGCAAUCACUCCUGCAGUUUCUGAACACUACACAGACGCCAGGUAGCUUCUUCAGGAGAACAGCCCUCUGAGGAGGCAGGAAGAGGAGGCUUCUCUUUCAGCAGCCGGAGCUGCUGAGAUCUCUGGGCAGAUUAAGCUCUCUCUAAUGGAUGGGCUCCAGCCUGGCACACUCAGUGGAGAGGGAUCCACUCAUCCAUCAUCAACACAAUAUGGUCCUCCCUGCACUUCACAGCGUCCUCUUGCUAUUGAAAAGGCUUUUUUGCCUUCUCAAGUUUCUUUGUCAACAGUCUAUAGGAAGAAGCUCAGGCCGCCACCGGCAGAGGUGAAUGCAAGCUCACGUUUUAUUUCUGACUGCUUAAUCAUUGCCUCGAUCACUGCUCAAGCUCUGCCUUUGUUUCCAAAGGUUACAUGUGGGAAAACUUCUUUUUCUAUGCUGAAAUUAAUAGGGAGGCAAAGAUGAGUCCACUGAUAAGCAGAGCCUUAAAACUCACAUAGAGAAACAACUUUGCUGGAGUGUGUGU